CAGCGCCACGAGUGGUAACCACGUUUAUUGGGCCUAAAGCGUCCGUAGCCGGUUUGAUAAAUCUUUUGUGAAAUUGUACAGCUUAACUGUACAGCGUGCAAGAGACACUGUCAAACUUGAGACCGGGAGGAGUCAGAAGUAUUCCAGAGGGAGCGGUAAAAUGUUAUAAUCUCUGGAGGACUACCUGUGGCGAAGGCGUCUGACCAGAACGGAUCUGACGGUGAGGGACGAAAGCUAGGGGAGCAAACCGGAUUAGAGACCCGUGUAGUCC
rnacentral:rRNA from 1 species